rnacentral:rRNA from 1 species
CCUACGGGAGGCAGCAGUGAGGAAUAUUGGUCAAUGGACGAGAGUCUGAACCAGCCAAGUAGCGUGAAGGAUGACUGCCCUAUGGGUUGUAAACUUCUUUUAUAUGGGAAUAAAACAGGGUAUGCAUACCCUCUUGUAUGUACCAUAUGAAUAAGGAUCGGCUAACUCCGUGCCAGCAGCCGCGGUAAUACGGAGGAUCCGAGCGUUAUCCGGAUUUAUUGGGUUUAAAGGGAGCGUAGAUGGAUUGUUAAGUCAGUUGUGAAAGUUUGCGGCUCAACCGUAAAAUUGCAGUUGAAACUGGCAGUCGUGAGUACAGUAGAGGUGGGCGGAAUUCGUGGUGUAGCGGUGAAAUGCGUAGAUAUCACGAAGAACUCCGAUUGCGAAGGCAGCUCACUGGACUGCAACUGACACUGAUGCUCGAAAGUGUGGGUAUCAAACAGGAUUAGAUACCCCAGUAGUC